rnacentral:tRNA from 1 species
CCCUGGGUGGUGCAAACGGUAAUGCACUUGGCUGUUAACCAAAAAGCUGAAGGUUCAAGCUCUCCCUCAAGGC